CCCGACUGCCACAUCCGCCUCGCAGU
rnacentral:misc_RNA from 1 species